rnacentral:rRNA from 1 species
AGAGUUGAUCCUGGCUAGGAUGAACGCUAGCGACAGGCUACACAUGCAAGUCGAGGGGCAGCACGGGAGUAGCAAUACAACUGGUGGCGACCGGCGCACGGGUGAGUAACGCGUAUGCAACCUACCAUCAGAGGGGAAUAACCCGGCGAAAGUCGGACUAAUACCGCAUAAAACAGGGGCACCGCAUGGUGAUAUUUGUUAAAGAAAUUCGCUGAUAGAUGGGCAUGCGUUCCAUUAGGUAGUUGGUGAGGUAACGGCUCACCAAGCCGACGAUGGAUAGGGGAACUGAGAGGUUGGUCCCCCACACUGGUACUGAGACACGGACCAGACUCCUACGGGAGGCAGCAGUGAGGAAUAUUGGUCAAUGGGCGAGAGCCUGAACCAGCCAAGUCGCGUGAAGGAAGAAGGAUCUAUGGUUCGUAAACUUCUUUUGCAGGGGAAUAAAGUGCGGGACGUGUCCUGUUUUGUAUGUACCCUGAGAAUAAGGAUCGGCUAACUCCGUGCCAGCCGCUGC